UCUAUCUGUUACCAAAUUAUAAA
rnacentral:siRNA from 1 species